GGUUAAGCGACUAAGCGUACACGGUGGAUGCCCUGGCAGUCAGAGGCGAUGAAGGACGUGCUAAUCUGCGAUAAGCGUCGGUAAGGUGAUAUGAACCGUUAUAACCGGCGAUUUCCGAAUGGGGAAACCCAGUGUGUUUCGACACACUAUCAUUAACUGAAUCCAUAGGUUAAUGAGGCGAACCGGGGGAACUGAAACAUCUAAGUACCCCGAGGAAAAGAAAUCAACCGAGAUUCCCCCAGUAGCGGCGAGCGAACGGGGAGCAGCCCAGAGCCUGAAUCAGUGUGUGUGUUAGUGGAAGCGUCUGGAAAGGCGCGCGAUACAGGGUGACAGCCCCGUACACAAAAAUGCACAUAUUGUGAGCUCGAUGAGUAGGGCGGGACACGUGGUAUCCUGUCUGAAUAUGGGGGGACCAUCCUCCAAGGCUAAAUACUCCUGACUGACCGAUAGUGAACCAGUACCGUGAGGGAAAGGCGAAAAGAACCCCGGCGAGGGGAGUGAAAAAGAACCUGAAACCGUGUACGUACAAGCAGUGGGAGCACGCUUAGGCGUGUGACUGCGUACCUUUUGUAUAAUGGGUCAGCGACUUAUAUUCUGUAGCAAGGUUAACCGAAUAGGGGAGCCGAAGGGAAACCGAGUCUUAACUGGGCGUUAAGUUGCAGGGUAUAGACCCGAAACCCGGUGAUCUAGCCAUGGGCAGGUUGAAGGUUGGGUAACACUAACUGGAGGACCGAACCGACUAAUGUUGAAAAAUUAGCGGAUGACUUGUGGCUGGGGGUGAAAGGCCAAUCAAACCGGGAGAUAGCUGGUUCUCCCCGAAAGCUAUUUAGGUAGCGCCUCGUGAAUUCAUCUCCGGGGGUAGAGCACUGUUUCGGCAAGGGGGUCAUCCCGACUUACCAACCCGAUGCAAACUGCGAAUACCGGAGAAUGUUAUCACGGGAGACACACGGCGGGUGCUAACGUCCGUCGUGAAGAGGGAAACAACCCAGACCGCCAGCUAAGGUCCCAAAGUCAUGGUUAAGUGGGAAACGAUGUGGGAAGGCCCAGACAGCCAGGAUGUUGGCUUAGAAGCAGCCAUCAUUUAAAGAAAGCGUAAUAGCUCACUGGUCGAGUCGGCCUGCGCGGAAGAUGUAACGGGGCUAAACCAUGCACCGAAGCUGCGGCAGCGACACUAUGUGUUGUUGGGUAGGGGAGCGUUCUGUAAGCCUGUGAAGGUGUGCUGUGAGGCAUGCUGGAGGUAUCAGAAGUGCGAAUGCUGACAUAAGUAACGAUAAAGCGGGUGAAAAGCCCGCUCGCCGGAAGACCAAGGGUUCCUGUCCAACGUUAAUCGGGGCAGGGUGAGUCGACCCCUAAGGCGAGGCCGAAAGGCGUAGUCGAUGGGAAACAGGUUAAUAUUCCUGUACUUGGUGUUACUGCGAAGGGGGGACGGAGAAGGCUAUGUUGGCCGGGCGACGGUUGUCCCGGUUUAAGCGUGUAGGCUGGUUUUCCAGGCAAAUCCGGAAAAUCAAGGCUGAGGCGUGAUGACGAGGCACUACGGUGCUGAAGCAACAAAUGCCCUGCUUCCAGGAAAAGCCUCUAAGCAUCAGGUAACAUCAAAUCGUACCCCAAACCGACACAGGUGGUCAGGUAGAGAAUACCAAGGCGCUUGAGAGAACUCGGGUGAAGGAACUAGGCAAAAUGGUGCCGUAACUUCGGGAGAAGGCACGCUGAUAUGUAGGUGAAGUCCCUCGCGGAUGGAGCUGAAAUCAGUCGAAGAUACCAGCUGGCUGCAACUGUUUAUUAAAAACACAGCACUGUGCAAACACGAAAGUGGACGUAUACGGUGUGACGCCUGCCCGGUGCCGGAAGGUUAAUUGAUGGGGUUAGCCGCAAGGCGAAGCUCUUGAUCGAAGCCCCGGUAAACGGCGGCCGUAACUAUAACGGUCCUAAGGUAGCGAAAUUCCUUGUCGGGUAAGUUCCGACCUGCACGAAUGGCGUAAUGAUGGCCAGGCUGUCUCCACCCGAGACUCAGUGAAAUUGAACUCGCUGUGAAGAUGCAGUGUACCCGCGGCAAGACGGAAAGACCCCGUGAACCUUUACUAUAGCUUGACACUGAACAUUGAGCCUUGAUGUGUAGGAUAGGUGGGAGGCUUAGAAGUGUGGACGCCAGUCUGCAUGGAGCCGACCUUGAAAUACCACCCUUUAAUGUUUGAUGUUCUAACGUUGACCCGUAAUCCGGGUUGCGGACAGUGUCUGGUGGGUAGUUUGACUGGGGCGGUCUCCUCCUAAAGAGUAACGGAGGAGCACGAAGGUUGGCUAAUCCUGGUCGGACAUCAGGAGGUUAGUGCAAUGGCAUAAGCCAGCUUGACUGCGAGCGUGACGGCGCGAGCAGGUGCGAAAGCAGGUCAUAGUGAUCCGGUGGUUCUGAAUGGAAGGGCCAUCGCUCAACGGAUAAAAGGUACUCCGGGGAUAACAGGCUGAUACCGCCCAAGAGUUCAUAUCGACGGCGGUGUUUGGCACCUCGAUGUCGGCUCAUCACAUCCUGGGGCUGAAGUAGGUCCCAAGGGUAUGGCUGUUCGCCAUUUAAAGUGGUACGCGAGCUGGGUUUAGAACGUCGUGAGACAGUUCGGUCCCUAUCUGCCGUGGGCGCUGGAGAACUGAGGGGGGCUGCUCCUAGUACGAGAGGACCGGAGUGGACGCAUCACUGGUGUUCGGGUUGUCAUGCCAAUGGCACUGCCCGGUAGCUAAAUGCGGAAGAGAUAAGUGCUGAAAGCAUCUAAGCACGAAACUUGCCCCGAGAUGAGUUCUCCCUGACUCCUUGAGAGUCCUGAAGGAACGUUGAAGACGACGACGUUGAUAGGCCGGGUGUGUAAGCGCAGCGAUGCGUUGAGCUAACCGGUACUAAUGAACCGUGAGGCUUAACCUU
rnacentral:rRNA from 1 species